AACGAACGCUGGCGGCAUGCCUAACACAUGCAAGUCGAACGAGACCUUCGGGUCUAGUGGCGCACGGGUGCGUAACGCGUGGGAACCUGCCCUUAGGUUCGGAAUAACUCCCCGAAAGGGGUGCUAAUACCGGCUAAUGUCUUCGGACCAAAGAUUUAUCGCCUUUGGAUGGGCCCGCGUUGGAUUAGCUAGUUGGUAGGGUAAAAGCCUACCAAGGCGACGAUCCAUAGCUGGUCUGAGAGGAUGAUCAGCCACACUGGGACUGAGACACGGCCCAGACUCCUACGGGAGGCAGCAGUGGGGAAUAUUGGACAAUGGGCGAAAGCCUGAUCCAGCAAUGCCGCGUGAGUGAUGAAGGCCUGAGGGUUGUAAAGCUCUUUUACCCGGGAUGAUAAUGACAGUACCGGGAGAAUAAGCUCCGGCUAACUCCGUG
rnacentral:rRNA from 1 species